GACGAACGCUGGCGGCGUGCCUAACACAUGCAAGUCGAACGGAGAUUUGAGAGCUUGCUUUCAAAUCUUAGUGGCGGACGGGUGAGUAACGCGUGAGUAACCUGCCUCUCAGAGGGGGAUAACGUUCUGAAAAGAACGCUAAUACCGCAUGACAUUCCUUUCUCGCAUGGGGAGGGAAUCAAAGGAGCAAUCCGCUGAGAGAUGGACUCGCGUCCGAUUAGCUAGUUGGUGAGGUAACGGCCCACCAAGGCGACGAUCGGUAGCCGGACUGAGAGGUUGAACGGCCACAUUGGGACUGAGACACGGCCCAG
rnacentral:rRNA from 1 species